rnacentral:rRNA from 1 species
GAUGAACGCUGGCGGCGUGCUUAACUCAUGCAAGUCGAACGAAGCACUUUAUUUGAUUUCCUUCGGGACUGAUUAUUUUGUGACUGAGUGGCGGACGGGUGAGUAACGCGUGGGUAACCUGCCUUGUACAGGGGGAUAACAGUUGGAAACGGCUGCUAAUACCGCAUAAGCGCACGGCAUCGCAUGAUGCAGUGUGAAAAACUCCGGUGGUAUAAGAUGGACCCGCGUUGGAUUAGCUAGUUGGUGAGGUAACGGCCCACCAAGGCGACGAUCCAUAGCCGACCUGAGAGGGUGACCGGCCACAUUGGGACUGAGACACGGCCCAAACUCCUACGGGAGGCAGCAGUGGGGAAUAUUGCACAAUGGGCGAAAGCCUGAUGCAGCGACGCCGCGUGAGCGAAGAAGUAUUUCGGUAUGUAAAGCUCUAUCGGCAGGGAAGAUAAUGACGGUACCUGACUAAGAAGCACCGGCUAAAUACGUG